UUUCCUACUGAUUUGCCUUCCCGUGAAGAGGCGGGAACUAUUGACAAUAAGACGAGAAGACCCUAUGGAGCUUUAAUUAACCGACCCAAAGAGAUCUUGAUAAUCAACCGACAGGGAUAACAUACCUCUACCAUGGGCCGACAAUUUAGGUUGGGGUGACCUCGGAGAAUAAAACAACCUCCGAGUGAUUUAAAUCUAGACUAACUAGUCGAAAGUACUACAUCACUUAUUGAUCCAAAAACUUGAUCAACGGAACAAGUUACCCUAGGGAUAACAGCGCAAUCCUAUUUUAGAGUCCAUAUCGCAAYWGGRYUUGCGCUGUUAUCCCUAGGGUAACUUGUKSCGUUGAUCAAGUUUUUGGAUCAAUAAGUGAUGUAGUACUUUCGACUAGUUAGUCUAGAUUUAAAUCACUCGGAGGUUGUUUUAUUCUCCGAGGUCACCCCAACCUAAAUUGUCGGCCCAUGGUAGAGGUAUGUUAUCCCUGUCGGUUGAUUAUCAAGAUCUCUUUGGGUCGGUUAAUUAAAGCUCCAUAGGGUCUUCUCGUCUUAUUGUCAUAUUCCCGCCUCUUCACGGGAAGGUCAAUUUCACGGAUAUGGAAGUAAGAGACAGUAAAGCCCUCGACUGCGCUGUUAUCCCUAGGGUAACUUGUUCCGUUGAUCAAGUUUUUGGAUCAAUAAGUGAUGUAGUACUUUCGACUAGUUAGUCUAGAUUUAAAUCACUCGGAGGUUGUUUUAUUCUCCGAGGUCACCCCAACCUAAAUUGUCGGCCCAUGGUAGAGGUAUGUUAUCCCUGUCGGUUGAUUAUCAAGAUCUCUUUGGGUCGGUUAAUUAAAGCUCAUAGGGUCUUCUCGUCUUAUUGUCAUAUUCCCGCCUCUUCACGGGAAGGUCAAUUUCACGGAUUGGAAGUAAGAGACAGUAAAGCCCUC
rnacentral:rRNA from 1 species